rnacentral:sRNA from 1 species
AAUUGGUCGCAGGUUCGAAUCCUGCACGACCCACCAAUUUAACAUCAAACUCAGAUGUUGAGCGUGAAGGAUAACGUUGCGUCAGCAACGGCCCGAAGGGCGAGCGAAGCGAGUCAUCCUGCACGACCCACCA